GGACAAUUUUAUAGCCUAUGAAAGAAGCGGUGAAAAACACUAACGUAACAUGAACACAGUUGUUUUAUGGAAACAAUGUAUAAACAGGACAAAAUAAUUACUGACCAAAAUUUCUCGAGUACAAUCUGAAAAUAAGAAUAACCAUUAAAACAGUGAAUAGAUCAGGUAUGUUUUCUUAACAGUGGCAAGUUUUUCAUGCAAAUAUAACGAAAUCAUAUGACUAAUCAAUGUCACAAGCUUUGGAAUAUAGAAUUAAUUAAUUUCAAACAUAAUCGUAUUCCUGUACUGACAGAACGUCGAUGUUCAACUUUCUUCUUGGAUAAUGAACUUCUUGGUUUCAGUAUUAUCUCAGAUCCACAAACGUUGUUUGAAGAUGUUUCCCAUUUCUUUUUUAAAUGUUCUAAGUAUGAUGUCAUGAUAUGUUAACUAUCUAAUAUAAUAAACCUGGUACUAGUGAAGUGUCAAAUAAAUUUUGAUUGCUGUCCCCUUUUUAUUGAUUUUUGUGCCUAUCUGGUCUGUUUGUUUUGUUCACGCAUUGUUGUCAAUUUAAUAGACUUGUAUGUGACUGUCAGACAAGUGGGAGGUUUUGAGCAACACAUAAGAAAAUGCAUUUACCAAUUGUUUCUGUUGAUGUGUUUGAUCUUUUGACUGCCAUUUGACAAAAGACUUUCCGUUUUGAAUUUUUCUCGAAGUAAGAUACAUUUUUUAUGUUUUUUGUUAUUUUACUUGUUACUUUUUGUUGGUUUAUUUUAUUUGUUUUUGUGUUUGUGUCACGUCAUUGAGUCGAAUCAUUGAUUUCCAAUACCAUAUAAAAGACGGAAAUACGUCUUUAUAAAAUAAUUGCUUCCAACGCGGUUGUUUACAAGGUUGUUAUUUUACUUUUGACGUCAGGUCAUACAUAUGUCCUUAACAUAUGAUUAAAAUAAAAUCAUUGUUUUUAAAUGUUUUUGAAUUUAUGAAAAGAAUACUGCUGCAAAAUCUUAGUUUUAUCAAUGGUGUUGUCAGUUAAUAUUCGACUUAUGAGUUUGAGAUUCCCUUUGGUAUUUUUCGCCACUCUAUUUAACGCGAUUUCUAAAGUGUAAAGUUGCAUGAUUAUAAUGUACAUAUUGUGUACUGUCGUGCACAUUUGAUGCGCUUUCACAUUAUCAUGCAUCAUCGUUUUUAUACAUCUGAAUGCAAUAUUUAUAUUGUAAUGUGUUUCUUUGUCAUUUCUAAACAUUAUAUCGAUUAGUUUAUUGUUGGUUGAUAAACGUCCAUUGACAAAUAUAUCAUGCAUGUUCAGGACAAAAACAAAAUAACAAUAAAUAAAAUAGGUAGCUCUUUUAGCUGUGACCGUCCGUGAUGAAGGUAGUGAAUAUUUGGACCGCCUCUGGAAAUAUGAUGAUAUAUUGAAUAAAAGUUUGGCCUUGCAACAUCAUACAUACGGACAAGUUGUAGAUCUGUUGCAAGGAUUCCUAACGUGCAGUAUGUUGGCUCACUCUACACGAAGUAUCUAAAUCGACGUACUGGGAUGAACUCAAGAUCUCUUGAAGGGUAAGCAGGUCCAGAUGUGGCAAAUGCGUGUUGUUCAUGCUAGUUCAAACUCGGUAAUCAGUUUUAUUCGGUAGGUCACAUUCGUGCUUGUUGUUACGACAUUAGGAAUAUAUCGCUAGUAUCUGUUAAACAGAUAUUCCAUAACGGCCAACUAACUCGUGAUGGCAUCUUUUACGGAGGAAUGAUAUCAACUUCACCGUUUUGAACUCUUGGUUCAAUAGCUUCCAUGUGUGCAGCAACCACUUAUCAAGGAAAUCAUAAAAGGGAGUAAUCGAAAAUCAAUUCGGAAAGUCCAUAAUCACAUGGCAAAAUCAAAUAGUCGUUAAUUGUGAGAUACAAACUCCGUAUACAUUAAUUAUGUUUCAUAAAUUCUUUUAAAAUGUUUUAGUUUAAGAUGACAUUGUGUUCUGUCCUUCGUUCGAAUUGUUCUUCUUUGACACAUUCCUCCUUUCCUGACUCAAUUUCAUAAGCCAGAUUUGGCACAACUUAUUUGAAACCUUUGACUUUCUACUUUCAGAUUUAUUUCACCUUUCAGUGUUAAGAUUCAAAUGCCACUUUAGAGCCAAGUGUCGUCCAAACCGUCAGCUGGUGUACUGCAUUGGAAUCAUGAUUUUGAUUUUAACAUAAUUUGGUGUACUUUGUUGUUGUUAACUAAAAACAAAAGUUUGUUUCUAUAUAAAACUUCGUGGACAAAUGUAACUAAUCUUUGCCUUUUUUUUAUUAUGUUGCAUGACAAUUGUUAAUAGUUCGUUAUUAUGACAAAAUAAAAAUAGUAGAUUGAUGUGGCAAUAAUUGGUAUCCAGCACUCAAACAUUUUUUUUGUGUUAAAAUACAAAACAGCAGAUUUAACAAUCGAACAAACACACACAUCGUUGUCAUUAUCAUGGAAUUUGAUGCGACGGUGAUACAAGGGAAAGGUUUAGUCAGCUAUAAAACCAGGUCAGUAAUAUGCCAGCUUAUCCAUUCGUUUGCUGUGUUUGAGCUUUUGAUUUGCCAUUUAAUUACUAGGUACUUUCCGUUUUGAAUUUCCCUAGCAGUUCAGUAUUUUUGUGAUUUUAUUUUGUGCAAAUUAAUCUAAGAAAGACAACAACACAUAAGUAUAGUGAAUGACAAUGACGUUACAAAACAGAUUUUGCCAUAGUAUACAUCUUCGGGAUAAAAUAAAAAAUUGAGAAAAUAUAAAUACAGAGGUAAACAAAAUAGAAUAAAAACUGUAAAUACCUUUUAUGUAAAAAUCGCAUCCCAGAACUGCACUAGAAAUAACCAAAGUUUAGAAGUCAAAAUCCAUAUGGUGGGAUUCACGAUAAAAGUCAUGUAACCAAAUUGAAACAUAAUAACACGAAGACAAAAUGGGAAAUGUUUAAAGUCACCGUGAAAAUAAAUAAACACAGGUUCAAUACCUUGAUUCUGUAACUAGAGACCAUCUUGUAGUUAUUCGUGAAGAAAACAAUGCAUAUUCAUCUAUUAUAUCUUAAUACUUUUAGAUGAACGUUUUAGAAAGGAGACACACUGACGUUCUUUGCUAAAUACUGGCUCGUUAAUAACUUUUUCAGAGACCGUUAUUGCAAAGUCUUAGUAGCACCUACACGCUCUUGAAUAUCACAUCGAGUUCAGAAUUUUUCAUUCUGAUUGCGGGUGAAGUUGGGUUUCUGAUAAAAAGGUGAGGAAAAUUAAUAAUUUCAAAAUUAAAAUAUUUUCAUUUGUCAUAGAUUUGGGUACUGCUAUGAUCGAUGUUAUCAAAUGAAAGAUAAAUGUCUAGAAAUAAAGCGAAGAAAGCUUUAUCUGUGAAAUCCUUAUUAUCUGUCCAAAACGACAAGGAUGUCAUGAACUUAAGGUCACUUUACGACUUUUAACCAUGAAAAAACCUUAUCUUGUGGUAAAAGGCAUUAAGAUAACAAAAUGAGAAACAAAUGAUUAUAAAAACUGCACAUACAAGUAUGAAAAUUGUGUAUGGUUACCAAUGAGACCACUAUUCAUUCUUUACUACAGUACAGACCAAAUGAAGUCGAGGUAAUCAAUUUUACAUGUAGGUCUAAGCAACCUGCUAAAUCCACCUCGCCCACUGAAAGACAAAUGUUAAACAAGUUAAAUAAGAAUCUAAUAACGGCCUUAUAUAUGAACAAAUUAAUACCCGAUAACAAAAAAAAACAAAAAAAAAAAAAAAAAAAAAAAACGGCACCACUGAAGUAAAUAGUUAUCAAAGGUACCAGGAUUAUAAUUUAGUACGCCAGACGCGCGUUUCGUCUACAUAAGGACUCAUCAUGACGCUUCAUAUCAAAAUAUUCAUAAAAGCCAAACAAGUACAAAGUUGAAGAGCAUUGAGAUCCAAAUUCCAAAAAGUUGUGCCAAAUACGGCUAAGGUAAUCUAUGCCUGGGAUAAGAAAAUCCUUAGUUUUUUCGAAAAUUCAAAGUUUUGUAACUGGAAAUUUAUUAAAAUGACACAUUAUUGAUAUUCAUGUCAACACCGAAGUGUUGACUACUGGCUGGUGAUACCCUCGGGGACGAAACGUCCACCAGCAGUGGCAUCGACCCAGUGGUGUAAAUAGUUAUCAAAGGUACCAGUAUUAUAAUUUAGUACGCCAGACGCGCGUUUCGUCUACAUAAGACUUAUCAGUGACGCUUAUAUCAAAAUAUUCAUAAAGCCAAACAAGUACAAAGUUGAAGAGCAUUGAGGAUCCAAAAUUCCAAAAAGUUGUGCCAAAUACGGCUAAGGUAAUCUAUGCCUGGGAUAAGAAAAUCCUUAGUUUUUCGAAAAUUCAAAGUUUUGUAACUGGAAAUUUAUUAAAAUGACCACAUUAUUGAUAUUCAUGUCAACACCGAAGUGUUGACUACUGCGCUGGUGAUACCCUCGGGGACGAAACGUCCACCAGCAGUGGCAUCGGACCCAGUGGUGUAAAAUAGUUAUCAAAGGUACCAGGAUUAUAAUUUAGUACACCAGACGCGCGUUUCGUCUACAUAAGACUCUCAGUGACGCUCAUAUCAAAAUAUUCAUAAAGCCAAACAAGUACAAAGUUGAAGAGCAUUGAGGAUCCAAAAUUCCAAAAAGUUGUGCCAAAUACGGCUAAGGUAAUCUAUGCUGGGAUAAGAAAAUCCUUAGUUUUCGAAAAUUCAAAGUUUUGUAACUGGAAAUUUAUUAAAUGACCACAUUAUUGAUAUUCAUGUCAACACCGAAGUGUUGACUACUGGGCUGGUGAUACCCUCGGGGACGAAACGUCCACCAGCAGUGGCAUCGACCCAGUGGUGUAAAUAAAGGCUCAUAAUUUGCGGCAGUAACAUUAAGCAUAACAUCAAAUGAACAAAGAACGGCACAGGGCAACCAAAUGCAAUCUCUGGACUAUAAAUGUUUGGCUUGAAACAGGCACAGCACAAAUGUGAUGGUCUUAACCAUUUUGCGAGAGUACAACCCUCUCUUUACUUACUACCUUGAUGUUUCAUCAGAAAAUUAAGAACAAACACUAUGAGUUACAAUUUUUGACAAAAAUCAGCAAAGACCAAUCGAAACAACAUCUGAUAAACAAAUUUAAUAAUACUUUUAGAUAUUUGGAUGACAUUUUGGCUCUCAAUAAUGACGACUUCAGUCUGUAUACUAAAGAAAUUUAUCCUGUUGAACUUACUUUAAAUAAAGCUAAUACUAACAAUGACCACUGCCCUUUCCUCGAUCUUGAUAUCUAUAUCACUAACGGAAAGCUUAAUACUAAAAUUUAUGAUAAAAGAGAUGAUUUUUCAUUUCCUAUCGUUAAUUAUCAAUUUUUAGAUUGUGACGUUCCCUUGUCACCAUCUUACGGUGUUUAUAUAUCUCAACUUGUACGAUUCGCUCGUGUAUGUAACAAUGUUUUAGAUUUUAACGAGAGAAAUUUAUGUAUUACUGAAAUAAUUAUUACACCAGGUUUUUUUCGAUAUCACAAACUAGUCAAAACAUUUACUAAAUUUUAACAUCGGUAUAAGGACAUCAUUCGUAAAUAUAGCUCAACAUGUAGACUUCUUAUACGUUUAGGUAUUUCACAUCCAUUUUUUUUAUGGAAAUAUUCUUUAUAAAGCACAAAAAUGUCAGUAUUCACCGCAGAAACUAACAAAACCUUUAAAUAGACUUAUUAAGAAGGGAUAUAGUUACGAUACUGUUGUCAGAUCAUUAAAGAUUGCAUAUUUUGGCGUUAAUAUUGAUUCACUUAUAGGGUCUUUGCAUCAGACCUAUACACAUUUAUUCAAAAACCAGUUGUUGGCAUGACACGGGUUAUAAUCUUCUCACAUAUGCUCUGAUGGUAUGAUACUAAACCCCUAACGGGAAGGAUUGUGCCUGAUAUUCAUAUGAUGAAAUCAUAAUCUUUCAAUCAGUUUAAUUGAAGUCUGGAGCUGGCAUGUCAGUUAACUGCUAGUAGUCUGUUGUUAUUUAUGUAUAAUUGUCAAAUUUUGUUUAUUUUCUUUGGUUACAUCUUCUGACAUCAGACUCGGACUUCUCUUGAAUUGAAUUUCAAAUGUACGUAUUGUUAUGCGAUUUACUUUUCUACAUUGGCCAAAAGUAUAGGGAGAGGGUUGAGAUCUCAUAAACAUGUUUAACCCUGUCGCAUUUUUGCGCCUGUCCCAAGUCAGGAGCCUCUGGUCUUUGUUAGUCAUGUAUUAUUUUAAUUUUAGUUUCUUGUGUACAAUUUGGAAAUUAGUAUGGCGUUCAUUAUCACUGAACUAGUAUAUAUUUGUUUAGGGGCCAGCUGAAGGACGCCUCCGGGUGCGGGAAUUUCUCGUUACAUUGAAGACCUGUUGGUGACCUUCUGCUGUUGUUUUUUCUAUGGUCGGGUUGUUGUCUCUUUGAUACAUUCCCCAUUUCCAUUCUCCAUUUUACUUUGACUAUUUAGCUUUCUCCAUUACUCAUAGUAAUGAUGUUUUGUUGAAAGCCUGCAAAAUAAUCUUUUACUACAAAUAUCACAUACAUUUAAAAUGAUCAAUCUUUCGAGUAAAUAGGGUCAAUAUGCACCUUGCAAAGCAAGCAUGUUCUUACUUAAUACACCAACUUCAUUGGCCCUUUUUAUUACCAAAUCUAAAUAAAAAUAGACAUGAAAAAAGACAUGCUUAAGGUCAGCUGAAACCUAUGAGCUGGACAUGUACAUCUUACAAUCCUUCCACAAAUCAUAAAUAUACAGUUAAGUACUAUAGUAUUUCUUAUAGGACCCGAGUACUUGACCACGUAAAUUUACUCCUGAUUCCAUAUACAUGAAAUAAGGUCAAUGUAAGGGAAACAAUGUCCAAAAAAUGUGCAAGGAUUUCAUAUACCAAGUUUAGUUAUCCUAUUACUCAUAAUACAUGUAAUAGAUGAAUACUUAAAAUGACAAAAUAAUACAUUUAUUUUCAUAGUAGUUGCUGAACCAUGAAAAUGAGACAAAGGAAAAUAGAAAACGACAAACAAAAGAA
rnacentral:lncRNA from 1 species